GGGGGAACCCUGACCGAGCAACGACCGCGUGAGUGAAGAAGGUUUUCGAUCGUAAAGCUCUGUUGUAAGAGAAGAACGAGUGUGAGAGUGGAAAGUUCACACUGUGACGGUAACUUACCAGAAAGGGACGGCUAACUACGUGCCAGCAGCCGCGGUAAUACGUAGGUCCCGAGCGUUGUCCGGAUUUAUUGGGCGUAAAGCGAGCGCAGGCGGUUAGAUAAGUCUGAAGUUAAAGGCUGUGGCUUAACCAUAGUACGCUUUGGAAACUGUUUAACUUGAGUGCAGAAGGGGAGAGUGGAAUUCCAUGUGUAGCGGUGAAAUGCGUAGAUAUAUGGAGGAACACCGGUGGCGAAAGCGGCUCUCUGGUCUGUAACUGACGCUGAGGCUCGAAAGCGUGGGGAGCAAACAGGAUUAGAUACCCUGGUAGUCCACGCCGUAAACGAUGAGUGCUAGGUGUUGGGUCCUUUCCGGGACUCAGUGCCGCAGCUAACGCAUUAAGCACUCCGCCUGGGGAGUACGAACGCAAGGUUGAAACUCAAAGGA
rnacentral:rRNA from 1 species